rnacentral:lncRNA from 1 species
UGCGUGCGUGCGCGGCGUCAACCCGCCACGGUGGUCCAGUGGUUAUGGUGCUCGACUGCUGACCCGAAGGUCGCGGGAUCGAAUCCCAGCCGCGGCGGCCGCAUUUGCGAGGGAGAUGAAAAUACUUGAGGUCUGUGUACUUAUAUUUAGUUAAAGAACCCCAGGUUGUCCAAUUUCCGG